rnacentral:rRNA from 1 species
UCUGGUUGAUCCUGCCAGAGGUUACUGCUAUCGAGGUUCGACUAAGCCAUGCGAGUCGAAUGUAGCAAUACAUGGCGAACUGCUCAGUAACACGUGGACAACCUGCCCUUAGGACGGGGAUAAACCCGGGAAACUGGGUAUAAUACCCGAUAGGUCUCGAUUGCUGGAAUGCAUCGAGAUUUAAAGCUCCGGCGCCUAAGGAUGGGUCUGCGGCCUAUCAGGUAGUAGUGGGUGUAGCGUACCUACUAGCCUACGACGGGUACGGGUUGUGAGAGCAAGAGCCCGGAGAUGGAUUCUGAGACACGAAUCCAGGCCCUACGGGGUGCAGCAGGCGCGAAAACUUUACAAUGCUGGCAACAGCGAUAAGGGAACCUCGAGUGCCAGGUUACAAAUCUGGCUGUCGAGAUGCCUAAAAAGCAUUUCAUAGCAAGGGCCGGGCAAGACCGGUGCCAGCCGCCGCGGUAACACCGGCGGCUCGAGUGGUAACCGUUAUUAUUGGGUCUAAAGGGUCUGUAGCCGGCCGGAUAAGUCUCUUGAGAAAUCUGGCAGCUUAACUGUCAGGCUUUCAGGAGAUACUGUCUGGCUCGAGGCCGGGAGAGGUGAGAGGUACUUCAGGGGUAGGGGUGAAAUCUUGUAAUCCUUGAAGGACCACCAGUGGCGAAGGCGUCUCACCAGAACGGACCUGACGGCAAGGGACGAAAGCUAGGGGCACGAACCGGAUUAGAUACCCGGGUAGUCCUAGCCGUAAACGAUACUCGCUAGGUGUCGGCCACGGUGCGACCGUUGUCGGUGCCGUAGGGAAGCCGUGAAGCGAGCCACCUGGGAAGUACGGCCGCAAGGCUGAAACUUAAAGGAAUUGGCGGGGGAGCACCACAACGGGUGGAGCUUGCGGUUUAAUUGGAUUCAACGCCGGAA